UUGCUCCACAAACUGGCUAUGUGCGCAGAGUACAGAGUGGUAGGCAAAAUGUUUGGAGUCAGCAAAACCACCGUGCACCAGUGUGUUUACGCCAUGUGCAAUGCCAUAUGAACGAGGAUGAUGCAGAGGUAUAUCUACCUGCCAGGAGUGGGUGAGGUGCAUGACAUCUCGCUACUUAACUCCAGAGCGCACCUUGUGCCACAGGUGUAUGGCGCAAUAGACGGGACUCACAUCCCGAUUUGACCCCCUGCUGACGGCUACAAGGAUUUUGUCAAUAGAAAGGGCUGGCCAUCAAUCGUACUACAGGCUGUGGUAGACGAUUCUUAGCAUCAUAAGGGGCAUUUGUGCUGGCAUGACCUUUAGUGUGU